rnacentral:rRNA from 1 species
UACGCAGGUGGCAAGCGUUGUCCGGAUUUACUGGGUGUAAAGGGCGUGUAGGCGGAGAUGCAAGUCAGAUGUGAAAUCUCGGGGCUCAACCCUGAAACUGCAUUUGAAACUGUAUCCCUUGAGUAUCGGAGAGGCAGGAGGAAUUCCUAGUGUAGCGGUGAAAUGCGUAGAUAUUAGGAGGAACACCAGUGGCGAAGGCGGCCUGCUGGACGAAAACUGACGCUGAGGCGCGAAAGCGUGGGGAGCAAACAGG